CUUUAUUGGAGAGUUUGAUCCUGGCUCAGGACGAACGCUGGCGGCAUGCCUAAUACAUGCAAGUCGAGCGGAGUUGAUAGGAAGCUUGCUUCCUUGAUACUUAGCGGCGGACGGGUGAGUAACACGUAGGCAACCUGCCCUCAAGUUUGGGACAACUACCGGAAACGGUAGCUAAUACCGAAUAGUUGUUUUCUUCGCCUGAAGGAAACUGGAAAGACGGAGCAAUCUGUCACUUGGGGAUGGGCCUGCGGCGCAUUAGCUAGUUGGUGGGGUAACGGCUCACCAAGGCGACGAUGCGUAG
rnacentral:rRNA from 1 species